GACGAACGCUGGCGGCGUGCCUAAUGCAUGCAAGUCGCACGCGGCACCUUCGGGUGCUGAGUGGCGAAUGGCUGAGGAACACGUGGGGACCUGUCCGGGAGUGGGGGACAACACCGCGAAAGCGGUGCUAAUCCCGCAUACGCUCUGAGGAGGAAAGCCGAAAGGCGCUCCCGGGUGGCCCUGCGGCCCAUCAGGUUGUUGGUGGGGUAACGGCCUACCAAGCCAAUGACGGGUCGCUGGUCUGUGAGGACGACCAGCCAGACUGGGACUGGGACACGGCCCAGACUCCUACGGGAGGCAGCAGCAAGGAAGUGUCGGCAAUGGGCGCAAGCCUGACCGAGCAACGCCGCGUGCAGGAAGACGGCCUUCGGGGUGUAAACUGCUUUUGCUAGGGAGGAUAACAGACAGUACCUGGCGAAUCAGCCCCGGCUAACUCUGUG
rnacentral:rRNA from 1 species